UCUAAUGUGGCAGAAUAAAUGCCAUGAACUUAAGAUUCAUAUAUAAAGAUAUAUCUUUCAUUAGAA
rnacentral:tRNA from 2 species